AAAUAUUGUUUUUCGUCAAGUGUCCGCUUUGUUUGUGCGUUUCAGCGGAGAAAAGGGAAUCGGGUGGAAGUCCCGAGCGAUCCGGUCACUGUGAACAGGGAGCACUUUCACAUAUGCCAUUGUGUAAAUUACACGAGAAGGCGUGUCAGUGCGGCGAUCUGUGAGCCAGGAAACCUGCUUGAUGAAGUAUGUUGAU
rnacentral:ncRNA from 2 species